GACGAACGCUGGCGGCGUGGAUUAGGCAUGCAAGUCGAACGGUAUCAUCCUUUCGGGGGUGAGAGAGUGGCGAACUGGUGAGUAACACGUAGGUUAUCUACCCUCAAGACGGGGGACAACCCAGGGAAACUUGGGCUAAUACCGGAUGUGAGCAACUUUUAGUUGUUUGAAAGGUGGCGUAAGCUGUCGCUUGGGGAUGAGCCUGCGUCCUAUUAGUUAGUUGGUGAGGUAACGGCUCACCUAGGCAAUGAUAGGUAGGCGGCCUUAACGGGUGGUCGCCCACACUGGGAUUGAGAUACGGCCCAGACUCCUACGGGAGGCAGGCAGUCGAGAAUAGUCUACAAUGGUCGGAAGACUGAUAGUGCGACGCCGCGUGAACGAUGAAUCCCUUCGGGGUGUAAAGUUCUUUUAUAUGUGAGCAGUGCUUCUUAUAUUAACAGUAUGGGGAGAGAGAUAUUAGCAUAUGAAUAAGCAACGGCUAACUCCGUGCCAGCAGCCGCGGU
rnacentral:rRNA from 1 species